ensembl:lincRNA
AUGCAGCCCAGGCCAGUUAGGGGACCUACGGUAAUUGCCGGGUGGAGAGCUGAGUGCCCUGGACGCACCUCGCCAGUUCGGCGCCGUCUGGGACAACAAAGGGAAGCGUGGACAGAGGAAGAAGCUUCGAGGUGCGGGAGAGGCGGGGGCCCAAGGGAUGGUGCCUUGAGCCCACGGACCCGGACCCGGAUCCACAAAAAGAUUCUCAGACGGCCUUUGCUGCAUGCCAGCCCGGCCAGGGAAGAGAGUGGACUCCGCACACCCAGCACUUGCUGCCGAGCCUCUUUGGAGCAGGAACACACACUCCUGUCUCAUCCUAGGCUUCCAGAACCUCUGAGACCGGAGGCCCCCAUCUCUACCUCAUGCGUGCAGGAUCUGGCUAGCCAUGGCUCUCCUCCUCAGCUACCUGCUGCUGCUGGAGCUGUUCUGGGAUACCUCUGCCCUGGGGCCAUUGUCAUCCGCAAAGGGUUCUGAUGGUUUGGAAUUUGAAUUGCCGACCACGAACUAUGAGACCAAAGACUCUUACAAAGCUGGGCCCAUUGGUGUUCUCUUUAAAAUGGUGCAUGUCUUCCUCCACGUGGUGCAGCCCAAUUCUUUCCCUGAAGGUAAGUGCCCAUGGGGGGGGGGCAGUUUGUCUCCAAACACACUCACAUGGGCACGCAGAAUACUGUUUGUCAAUCAUGAUACAGUAAAUAUAUAUUAUAUUC